AGCUGGUUCGGAUUGGUUCAAAAAAAAUUGGUUUGGUUUGGGUUCUUUUUAAUGAACCCAAAUAGGUCGGUUCGGUUCUCGAAUUCAUAGGAAAACUGUUCGGUUCGAAUCGAACUGACCCAAGAAGAAUAGGCUAGACACUAUUUAUCUUAAUUUAAUUUGUAUGUACUAUGUAGGCCCAGCCCAGCUCACUGCUCAGCCCAAUAACAGAAAGCUCAACUCACUUCCAAGUUCCCACUUCUCGGUAGGCUGAAGGAUGAAAUGUGAACCAUUCCCUUGUCGACACGUGGCUCGUGGAGAUUGGAUGUCUUUUUUAUUUCCUUCUUCUCCACGUUUCAACUUCCCCAGACGGCAGACACAGACGGUACUACACGACUCAAACUCAGCACGGUCGCGGCGCCAUUUUUCUUUCUUCUGUUCUUCAUCCCUUUUUUUCGUCAUGCACGGCACACGCCAUCGGGCAUCAGCCAUUCGACUUCGUCACUCGUCCGUUCCAUCGAGUCGUCGCUCAGGCAUCCCUUUUCCGCUUUUCGUUUUCGUCACUCAUCACGCCGACUUCACGUUAGCCAUUAUUUUCUACUUUCCGAUUUUCGUCAUCGCCAGUCUGCCAUGGAAAAUAGUGAGUUGAUCGACAUCAACAAUGAAUCACCACCUAUAAAUAUUUCCAUCCCCGAUGCAUUGUUCUAAACCAUCGGAAGUCAUUGGCAAGAGAAAACCAACUAGGCCAUCAUCUUCAGUGUCGGAUCACUUUACAAAGAUUGAAAGAUCUAACACCGAAGAUGGAAUUCAACAUAUUUGAUGCUUGAUCAUGCUUUAAAAUUUGGAAAGGCUUUUCAAUGCUUAGAAGAAGAGGAUGAAGAUUUUGUACAUCCAGUUACUGAAGAUGAGAAUGGAAAGAAAAGAAAGGGACCACCGUCCUUAGCCGAUUGGAACCAUGUUCGAACAUUUGUCAAAUUUUUGAAGAUAUUUUAUGAUCUUACAUUGAAGAUUAAUGGCUCAACUUAUGUCACUUCUGAAACAUUUUUUCAUGAACUUUGUGAGAUUCAAUGACGUUUAAUAGGUUGGAGCCAAAAUGUAAAUAGUGUGAUAUAUACUAUGGCUUCCAAUAUGAGAAUGAAAUUUGAUAAGUAUUUGGGAUCUCUCGACAAGAUGAACAAAGUGUUGUUUAUAGCUAUUGUGCUUGAUCCAUGAUAUAAGUUGGAUUAUGUGUCCUUUUGUUUCAUAAGUAUUUAUGGGGAUGGAGUUGCUAGAACAAUGACUGAUGAGGUGAAAGUUAGUUCGAUGCAAUUGUAUGAGUUUUAUAAGACAAGUGAUUUAAGUGGUCAUAUUUUUUAACAACCAUGUCACAUAGUUGAAAUAAGUGAGGAUUGUGAUGACAUGGAAAUGGAUUUACAGUUGGAAUACAAAUGAAGAAGAAAAGAGAAAAAUUUGAAUGAAACAAGAAAUGAUGUGGAGAGAUAUUUGUCAGAACCUAAUGAAGAUCUGAUAGAAAAUUUUGAUAUUUUGAAUUGGUGGAAAUUAAAUGCUCCUAAAUACAAUGUUUUAUCAUAAGUUGCUCGAGAUGUCUUACCCAUACCAGUGUCAACAGUUGCCUUUGAAUCAGCAUUUAGUACGAGAGGUAGAAUACUUGGCUCUUUUAUAAGUUCUUUAAGUCCUAAGAUGGUGAAAGCUUUAAUAUGUACACAAAAUUGGCUACGUGUGAAGCCAAUGUUAUUAGA